AUUGAACGCUGGCGGCAUGCCUUACACAUGCAAGUCGAACGGCAGCACGGGUGCUUGCACCUGGUGGCGAGUGGCGAACGGGUGAGUAAUACAUCGGAACAUGUCCUGUAGUGGGGGAUAGCCCGGCGAAAGCCGGAUUAAUACCGCAUACGAUCUACGGAUGAAAGCGGGGGACCUUCGGGCCUCGCGCUAUAGGGUUGGCCGAUGGCUGAUUAGCUAGUUGGUGGGGUAAAGGCCCACCAAGGCGACGAUCAGUAGCUGGUCUGAGAGGACGACCAGCCACACUGGGACUGAGACACAGCCCAGACUCCUACGGGAGGCAGCAGUGGGGAAUUUUGGACAAUGGGCGAAAGCCUGAUCCAGCAAUGCCGCGUGUGUGAAGAAGGCCUUCGGGUUGUAAAGCACUUUUGUCCGGAAAGAAAUCCUUGGCCCUAAUACGGUCGGGGGAUGACGGUACCGGAAGAAUAAGCACCGGCUAACUACGUG
rnacentral:rRNA from 1 species